GCGGAUAUGGCGGAACUGGCAGACGCGCCGGAUUUAGGUUCCGGUGGGCAACCGUGGAGGUUCGAGUCCUCUUAUCCGCA
rnacentral:tRNA from 1 species